GAAAAGAACUUUGAAAAGAGAGUUAAAUAGUACGUGAAAUUGUUGAAAGGGAAACGAUUGAAGCCAGUCGUACCGACGAGAAAUCAGCUCUUUUUGUGCGAACUUGUGGGCGUGCGUGAGCUUUACGGCCUCGCUGUUUGCUAUGUUUGUGCUCUUUGGGUGUACUUUUUCGUAUGGUAGGCCAAUGUCAGUUUCGAUUAUCAUAAAAUAAUUGGAGGAAUGUAGCUUCGACCUCGGUUGAAGUGUUAUAGCCUCUGGUAGAUGUGGUAAUUGGGACUGAGGAUUGCAACGAAUACCUUUUAGGCUAUCCGUCUGACCUCUGAAAGUCGCUUAGGUGCCGAAAGCUUGCUUACGGUUAUUUAAGUUGGCGGUCAAUAGGUUAGAACGUGAUUAUAUUCGU
rnacentral:rRNA from 1 species